AGCGAACGCUGGCGGCAGGCCUAUCACAUGCAAGUCGAACGGACCCUUCGGGGUUAGUGGCGGACGGGUGAGUAACACGUGGGAACGUGCCCUUUGGUUCGGAACAACUCAGGGAAACUUGAGCUAAUACCGAAUGUGCCCUUUGGGGGAAAGAUUUAUCGCCAUUGGAGCGGCCCGCGUCUGAUUAGCUAGUUGGUGGGGUAAUGGCAUACCAAGGCUACGAUCAGUAGCUGGUCUGAGAGGAUGAUCAGCCACAUUGGGACUGAGACACGGCCCAAACUCCUACGGGAGGCAGCAGUGGGGAAUCUUGCGCAAUGGGCGAAAGCCUGACGCAGCCAUGCCGCGUGAAUGAUGAAGGUCUUAGGAUUGUAAAAUUCUUUCACCGGGGACGAUAAUGACGGUACCCGGAGAAGAAGCCCCGGCUAACUUCGUGCCAGCCGCCGCGGUAAAAC
rnacentral:rRNA from 1 species